CCUACGGGCGGCAGCAGUGAGGAAUAUUGGUCAAUGGACGAGAGUCUGAACCAGCCAAGUAGCGUGAAGGAUGACUGCCCUAUGGGUUGUAAACUUCUUUUAUAUGGGAAUAAAAUGUUCCACGUGUGGGAUUUUGUAUGUACCAUAUGAAUAAGGCUCGGCUAACUACGUGCCAGCAGCCGCGGUAAUACGGAGGAUCCGAGCGUUAUCCGGAUUUAUUGGGUUUAAAGGGGGCGUAGGUGGAUUGUUAAGUCAGUUGUGAAAGGUUGCGGCUCAACCGUAAAAUUGCAGUUGAAACUGGCAGUCUUGAGUACAGUAGAGGUGGGUGGAAUUCGUGGUGUAGCGGUGAAAUGCGUAGAUAUCACGAAGAACUCCGAUUGCGAAGGCAGCUCACUGGACUGUAACUGACACUGAGGCUCGAAAGUGUGGGUAUCAAACAGGAUUAGAUACCCUUGUAGUC
rnacentral:rRNA from 1 species